AUUUGAAGCCUUUGGUUUCUGUUUUUACUCUGCCAUCCAUUGGCCCUAGUGGGAGCUUUUGUUGUCAUGAUUUUGUUGUUGCUCUGUAAGUGUUUAGCACUGUGGUGGAUGGAUCUCUGACAUACAAAGAGUGAGAAGAGAAAUGAGACACACCUGGAAGAGAGACAGCCUGGCAGGUGGAAAUAUGGAGGUCCUUGUAUUGUGGGACUGCCAGACCUCCUGAGUCACAUGACUCACUGUCUGAUUUUCG
rnacentral:lncRNA from 1 species